GAUGAACGCUGGCGGCGUGCCAAUACAUGCAAGUCGAGCGAACGGACGAGAAGCUUGCUUCUCUGAUGUUAGCGGCGGACGGGUGAGUAACACGUGGAUAACCUACCUAUAAGACUGGGAUAACUUCGGGAAACCGUAGCUAAUACCGGAUAAUAUUUUGAACCGCAUGGUUCAAAAGUGAAAGACGGUCUUGCUGUCACUUAUAGAUGGAUCCGCGCUGCAUUAGCUAGUUGGUAAGGUAACGGCUUACCAAGGCAACGAUGCAUAGCCGACCUGAGAGGGGGAUCGGCCACACUGGAACUGAGACACGGUCCCGACUCCUACGGGAGGCAGCAGUAGGGAAUCUUCCGCAAUGGGCGAAAGCCUGACGGAGCAACGCCGCGUGAGUGAUGAAGGUCUUCGGAUCGUAAAACUCUGUUAUUAGGGAAGAACAUAUGUGUAAGUAACUGUGCACAUCUUGACGGUACCUAAUCAGAAAGCCACGGCUAACUACGUG
rnacentral:rRNA from 1 species